GGAGGGGUGGCAGAGUGGUCUAAUGCACUGGUCUUGAAAACCAGAGUACUGCAAGGUACCGAGGGUUCGAAUCCCUCCCCCUCCG
rnacentral:tRNA from 1 species